rnacentral:tRNA from 1 species
GGCUGAAUAGCUCAGUGGUAAGAGCAGUCGCCCGACAAGCGAAAGACUUGGGUCUGUUUCCCGAUUCAGCGA